GGUUUUAAUCGAUCGCACGACACGAGGGUCCGGAGAAACACGAAACCGAAAUGGCGCUGUAUUUCUUGCGCGCCGGUCGCAAGCUUUGCUCGCGAUCGCCUCUUCCCCUUUCCCUCCUCUCCCUCCCUUCUCGCCCUCCAAGCCCUAAUCCAAUCACCCCUCCUCCCGCCCGUCCCCAAACCUUGGGCUCCCCUCUCGCGCCAUGGCGUCACCCUUGGAUCGGGUCGCGGCGGCGUUCGAGGAUCCUCGACAGAUUCCGCCACGGUCUCUCCCUCGCCUCCAUUUCCAGCUCCCCGGGCACCGCCGAGGACCAUGAGAACCGGCGGCUGGAUGGUGGGGAGCGAUCGCCGCCGGAGAGUUCCUCGCGCUCUUGGGUCGAUCUCUAUUUGCCGGAAUCGGUGCGUCCGUAUGCGCUCCUCGCUCGGUUGGAUAAGCCUAUCGGGACCUGGCUGCUUGCUUGGCCGUGCAUGUGGUCAAUUACAAUGGCAGCUAAUCCAGGAGAGCUUCCUGAUUUGAAAAUGUUAGCAUUGUUUGGAUGUGGAGCUGUGCUUCUCCGAGGGGCUGGUUGCACUGUGAAUGACCUUAUUGAUUGUGACAUUGAUAAAAAGGUUGAGCGCACCAAGUACAGGCCUGUUGCAUCUGGUAUUCUGACACAAUUUCAAGGGCUCUGUUUUCUUGGAUUUCAGCUUCUAUUGGGUUUAGGAAUCCUUCUCCAACUAAACAAUUAUAGCCGUAUUCUGGGGGCAUCAUCAUUGCUGUUGGUUUUCUCAUAUCCCCUUAUGAAGAGAUACACUUUUUGGCCUCAAGUAUAUCUAGGUUUGACCUUUAAUUGGGGAGCUUUAUUAGGAUGGGCUGCUGUAAAAGAAAGCUUGGAUCCUGCAAUUAUUCUCCCAUUGUACAGCUCUGGUGUAUGCUGGACUCUUGUAUAUGAUACAAUAUAUGCACAUCAGGAUAAAGAAGACGACCUAAAAGUUGGUGUCAAAUCCACAGCAUUGAGGUUUGCAAGUUUGACAAAGACUUGGAUUUCUGGCUUUGGGACAGCAUGUAUUGGUAGCCUAGCACUUAGUGGAUACAAUGCAGAGCUUGCAUGGCCAUACUAUCCAUUUCUGACUGCCGCAGCUGCACAAUUAGGAUGGCAGAUUUUGACUGUUGACUUGCCUAACCGUGCCGAGUGCAAUAGAAAGUUUGUUUCCAACAAGUGGUUUGGUGCUUUGGUAUUCAGUGGAAUCUUGUUUGGUCGGCUUGCAUCCUAAAGGAGGAGUGGAUUAAAAGUGUGACCAAAAGAAUGUUCCCAAUCUGAUGAAAUUUUGGAAUCAUCGAUUUUCUUAUAUCACUCUUCACGACCAUUAAGUCUUGGCCUUGAGGAACAUUUACCUUCUCAGAAAUAGUAAAAGGCUACAGAGAUGUACAAAUUUCAAUACUCAUUCCAAGCUGGAAUAUUACUCCCGACCGUGUCAAUAACUUGUAUGCACCUGUCAUCGAUUCUUUCUCAAUUAUUUUCUUAUGCAAGUAGGCAGUUCAUCCUUGAUUAUGUAUUUUAUGAGCUUACUAGUGACUCUGAAGGACAUGUAAGGGUCUUACAGGGAAAAACAAUCAGAAUAUGUUAGAAUAAUAUUCUUUGGCAUUCGAUCAUGUAUGUAAGCUAAAACUUUUACUAAUUGACACUCUAGGUUUUUCAAACGAAUGCACCAGAGUUACUAUGCUCUCACAAAUUACAUAA